GAUGAACGCUGGCGGCGUGCCUAAUACAUGCAAGUCGAGCGAACAGACGAGGAGCUUGCUCCUCUGACGUUAGCGGCGGACGGGUGAGUAACACGUGGAUAACCUACCUAUAAGACUGGGAUAACUUCGGGAAACCGGAGCUAAUACCGGAUAAUAUAUUGAACCGCAUGGUUCAAUAGUGAAAGACGGUUUUGCUGUCACUUAUAGAUGGAUCCGCGCCGCAUUAGCUAGUUGUUAAGGUAACGGGUUACCACGGCGACGAUGCGUAGCCGACCGAAGAGGGGGAUCGGCCACACUGGAACGGAGACACGGUCCAGACUCCUACGGGAGGCAGCAGUAGGGAAUCUUCCGCAAUAGGCGAAAGCCUGACGGAGCAACGCCGAGUGAGUGAUGAAGGUCUUCGGAUCGUAAAAAUCUGUUAUUAGGGAAGAACAAAUGUGUAAGUAACUAUGCACGUCUUGACGGUACCUAAUCAGAAAGCCACGGCUAACUACGUG
rnacentral:rRNA from 1 species